UGAGGAAUAUUGGUCAAUGGACGAGAGUUGAACCAGCCAAGUCGCGUGAAGGAAGAAGGAUGUAUGGUUCGUAAACUUCUUUUAUAGGAGAAUAAAAAAGAGGACGUGUCCUUUCUUGUAUGUACCCUACGAAUAAGGAUCGGCUAACUCCGUG
rnacentral:rRNA from 1 species